GCUGCCGUAUCUCAAUCGGAUAGAGAUCUGCACUUCUAAUGCAGAAGUUGCUGGUUCGAAUCCAGCCGGCAGUA
rnacentral:tRNA from 1 species